AACGUGAAAUAUUUCUAACGUGUUGCAGAUUCUCCUCCCGAAAAAUACUGUAGAACAUUCGUUUAUUUGAAUAUAUGUGGUGAGUGUGUAAAAGUAUACUUGUUAAAAGGUUAUAAUAGAAGAUACCCAUUUCUGAAGCAGCGCAAUUGAAUAUUAAAGCUGUAACGUUAAACAUUCUGCAUUUUUUUAACUUAUUUUGUACAUUUUGUAAUUGAAAACUGACGAUUUCAUAUAUGGCCGUAGACUGUUUUUUAAUCGAAUAAUUUCAAUUUGUGUAGAAACUUUGGCGCGAAGAUCAACUCUGGGUCAGUGCUAUUUUACAUACGGGCCAUUUCAGUCAAGUUGUUGGCCAUUUGAAACACUGCGCUUGAAGCACACAGUUUUGGUCUUUUCUCAAAUCAGUGCAAGAUAAAGCCACAGCAAAACAUCGACAUUAUGCUGUUUAAAGUGCAGUACCAACAUCACAGAAAGUACAUAAAACUUACUGGAUCGUCUUAUGAUUCUGUAAUCAAGGAUGUCAAGCAGAAGUUUGACAUCUC